ensembl:lncRNA
UGCGUGCUGCGCUUCUCCCCUCAGCCCUGCGCCUCGCGGGGGUUGGGCCGCGGGGACCCGGGGGCGGUUCCAGCAUCCGUGGGUCUGAGGGUCUGUGAGUCUGUCUGCUCCUGGGCCCGGGGGUACCUCCGCAGGGCCCACCCGUGGCUGUGAUGCGUGAUAGCCUGCCUGGAAUUUGCAGGCUCAGUGAAACUGCUCAGGUCUCCCCGCUGAGGCUGACUAUGUGUUCACCCUCCAGACUGCUUGGGAACGAAGGCAAAGAGAAGAACAUUGUCCCGCAAAGCCACGUGCCUCGCUUGCAGUCUGGGAGCUGAGGCACAGCUUCUGACUUUGCUCUGCAGCCCCUGUGUCCCAACCACUACCCAGGACACUGAUCAACCUGAAGCUGCUGGUUUUCUUGUGAUGGGCUCCUGUAUGCGUUCCAAAUACUGUUGAGGCUGCUCUGUGGGUAUUUUUAGUGUGCAUCAGGUGCCAACGAGGAAAACAAAAGCCUCUUCUUCAUGAGCCCACGUCUGCAGUUAUUUCCAGUGCCCGUGUCCUCGUGUGCAUCCUGCAGCCCUUGGGGCUCCGACAGCAGGCACUGAGAAAAACCAAGCUUGGGAAAAAUCUAAAUACUUCCCAAGGAAGAACUUCAGGAAAUGCCCAUCAAACAGCUGAGCAGGGGAUUCCUGAGCAGGUUUCCUGUGCUUCUUUGAAAUGCUGAUAAAAAGCUUCGUGAGAUACCUGCACAGAGGAAUUUCCCAAACAGGGCACUGAAAGCUUCACACCACAAUGUAUGCGUGAUACUGGAGCUCCCACACGUGCUGGGUGUUUGGAUAGCGUUCUUAGACCUGCUGAAACCUGCGUAAUGUAGUAAUUAUGGGCUGCUAGCUGUUGAAAGGACUCGUGAAGCUACUCCAAGGGGCAGCUGUCACCUGGGUCCUUCGGAUCCCAGCUCAUGUUUGCCUCUGCACGUCCUCAGCAUGCAAACAGGGCUGAGGGAAAGCACCCUGCCUCCUCCUGUCCCUGGGUGCAGGAAUGGCAAUGGCCGGCAGCACUGACAUCUGCCUCCUGGUGUGACCCCAAGGAUGUGACUUUGGGACAGAAACAACAUGCAGCCAGGCACCCCUGAAAUGAAGCAGGGUUAUGGGAUCCAGCUCUGGCAUUAGUGUGCAGUCCUGAACAUCUGCACCAACAUUUGUGUGCCCAGCCAUCAUUGCAGCACCUGUAGCCAUCUGAGCUGGCGCUGGCUGCAGCAUGAAGCCAGGUGAAGGGGUGGGUUCUUUGGGACUGGCAAAAUAUCCCAUGUGCCUUUCAGUGUUUUCCUCUUUUUUUUUUUUUUUUUAAUUAUGCUUGGAGCCUCUUCUGAACAGUAAAACCUAAAAAAUAUUUGGGAAAAUAUUAAUGUGUCACUUUUGGAUCUGACAGUGUUUGUUUGUUUGCUUGUUUUUGAGGGUAGCAAUUUACAAAGUCCUGCUUUUGGGUCCUUCCUUCCCCACAUCUCUGCUGGGAACUGCUGGUGCCCCCAUCCCACCACGGGAGCCCUGGGCUGGGAACACAGCAGUGCCUGCUGCUGGGGAGGUAACACUGCGAACCAGCCUGCGCAUCUUGCAGCCUCUACAAUAUUGCCAAACCUUGUAACACAGAACCAGAUCCCUUUCCAAACCAGCCCCUUGCAGCCCUUCCUUCCUCUCCAAACUGCACCAAUCUCCAGCCAGAGCGAGCCUUGGGUCUGCCCUGCUUCACCCACCUCGUCGCUUCUGUCCCUGCCUCGCAUCUCCCCGCAGCGGUGUUCGGACGCCUCGCCUCUCUCCCGCUGGCUGAGAGCAGCGUGGAUUUCCUUCCAGCGUGACGGUUGGGGUCACUCUUUCACAACGAGCGCUUUCCUCCCGGUACGAUCAGCUCAGCGUCGCGUCCCGCUGACGCCCAACCAGGAUUUCAAGCUUUUGGGACUGCCUUCCCUGGAAAAAAUUAGCGACAUGUUUGAUUUUAAAUAGCGGAAGCGUGCGGGAAUAAGCUUUUCUGUGUGGGUUCGGAAGUUUGCUAAAACACUCAAUGAGCUGC